UAUCUCUGUAGAGUCUGCAUAUCAAUAAGCGGAGGAAAAGAAACUAACUAGGAUUCCCUCAGUAACGGCGAGUGAAGCGGGAAGAGCUCAAAUUUGAAAUCUUCAAGGUUUUACCUUGACGAAUUGUAGUUUAAAGAAGUGUUUUCUGUUGGUAGUUUUGGUAAAAGUUCUUUGGAAUAGGACAUCAUAGAGGGUGAGAAUCCCGUAUUUGACCAUUAUUUCCAGCUUUGUGAUACACUUUCAAAGAGUCGGAUUGUUUGGGAAUGCAGUCCAAAAUGGGUGGUAAAUUUCAUCUAAAGCUAAAUACUGGCGAGAGACCGAUAGCGAACAAGUACCGUGAGGGAAAGAUGAAAAGAACUUUGAAAAGAGAGUUAAACAGUACGUGAAAUUGUCAAAAGGGAAGCGUUUGACACCAGUGUUGUUUUCUCGAAAAUCAAUUAAAAAUGGCGGGAUUUUGUGUUGUAUUGACUUUAUCAGCUUUCUGCACUCUUUUCCUGUCUUUUUUAAUGCACUUUUCGUUUAACAAGUCAACAUCAAUUUCUUUUGUUGUAAAAGAGUCAUUGGAAGGUGGCUUUCUCUUCGGAGAAAGUGUUUAUAGCCUUUGGCUUCUGCAAUCGGAGAGAUUGAGGUCUGCAGCGUAGAUCCUUCGGGGUUAGAUACAUUUGUGCUAAGUUAUAGCCUUUCAUAGACAACUUGUUGACUAUGAUCAGUCAUGUAGCUUACUCGCUUAUGCUAUUUUACCUACGCUUAGGAUGUUGAGUCAUCACACAUCUCU
rnacentral:rRNA from 1 species